CCCCCCCAGGCGGUGGAGCAUGUGGUUUAAUUCGAUGCAACGCGAAGAACCUUACCUACCCUUGACAUCCAGAGAAUCUGUUAGAGAUAAUUGAGUGCCUUCGGGAACUCUGAGACAGGUGCUGCAUGGCUGUCGUCAGCUCGUGUUGUGAAAUGUUGGGUUAAGUCCCGUAACGAGCGCAACCCUUAUCCUUAGUUGCCAGCACGUAAUGGUGGGAACUCUAGGGAGACUGCCGGUGAUAAACCGGAGGAAGGUGGGGACGACGUCAAGUCAUCAUGGCCCUUAUGGGUAGGGCUACACACGUGCUACAAUGGCCAGUACAGAGGGCUGCAAACUUGCGAGAGUAAGCAAAUCCCAGAAAGCUGGUCUUAGUCCGGAUUGGAGUCUGCAACUCGACUCCAUGAAGUUGGAAUCGCUAGUAAUCGCGAAUCAGAACGUCGCGGUGAAUACGUUCCCGGGCCUUGUACACACCGCCCGUCACACCAUGGGAGUGGGUUGCAAAAGAAGUGGGUAGACUAACCUUCGGGAGGUCGCUCACCACUUUGUGAUUCAUGACUGGGGUGAAGUCGUAACAAGGUA
rnacentral:rRNA from 1 species